CCUACGGGAGGCAGCAGUAGGGAAUUUUCGUCAAUGGGCGCAAGCCUGAACGAGCGAUGCCGCGUGAGUGAAGAAGGCCUUCGGGUCGUAAAGCUCUGUUGCGGGGGAAAAAAGGCAGCAUCAGGAAAUGGGUGCUGACUGAUGGUGCCCCGCCAGAAAGUCACGGUUAACUACGUGCCAGCAGCCGCGGUAAUACGUAGGUGGCGAGCGUUAUCCGGAAGGAUUGGGCGUAAAGGGUGCGCAGGCGGUCCUGCAAGUCUGGAGUGAAACGCAUGAGCUCAACUCAUGCAUGGCUUUGGAAACUGGAGGACUGGAGAGCAGGAGAGGGCGGUGGAACUCCAUGUGUAGCGGUAAAAUGCGUAGAUAUAUGGAAGAACACCAGUGGCGAAGGCGGCCGCCUGGCCUGUUGCUGACGCUGAGGCACGAAAGCGUGGGGAGCAAAUAGGAUUAGAUACCCCAGUAGUC
rnacentral:rRNA from 1 species